AACGAACGCUGGCGGCAGGCCUAACACAUGCAAGUCGAACGCCGUAGCAAUACGGAGUGGCAGACGGGUGCGUAACACGUGGGAACAUACCCUUUGGUUCGGAAUAACUCAGGGAAACUUGAGCUAAUACCGGAUAAGCCCUUACGGGGAAAGAUUUAUCGCCAAAGGAUUGGCCCGCGUCUGAUUAGCUAGUUGGUGAGGUAACGGCUCACCAAGGCGACGAUCAGUAGCUGGUCUGAGAGGAUGAUCAGCCACACUGGGACUGAGACACGGCCCAGACUCCUACGGAGGCAGCAGUGGGAUAUUGGACAAUGGGCGCAAGCCUGAUCCAGCCAUGCCGCGUGAGUGAUGAAGGCCUUAGGGUUGUAAAGCUCUUUUACCCGGGAAGAUAAUGACGGUACCGGGAGAAUAAGCCCCGCUAACUUCGUGCCAGCAGCCGCGGUAAC
rnacentral:rRNA from 1 species